rnacentral:rRNA from 1 species
GACGAACGCUGGCGGCGGGCUUAACACAUGCAAGUCGAACGAACGCCUUCGGGCGUUAGUGGCGCACGGGUGAGUAACACGUAGGCAAUCUACCCUCGGCUGGGGAAUAACCAGGGGGAAACCCUGGCUAAUACCGCAUAACAUCUGGACGUCGCCUGGCGACCAGAUCAAAGCUUUAUGUGGCCGAGGAUGAGCCUGCGUCGGAUUAGCUAGUUGGUGGGGUAACGGCCUACCAAGGCGACGAUCCGUAGCGGGUCUGAGAGGAUGAUCCGCCACACUGGCACUGAGACACGGGCCAGACUCCUACGGGAGGCAGCAGUGAGGAAUAUUGCGCAAUGGACGAAAGUCUGACGCAGCCACGCCGCGUGCAGGAAGACACCCCUCUGGGGCGU